GGGAGAAGAAGAUUGAUCUAGUCUUCAAUUGUCGGCGUUAUUCAGAAGCUAAGAAGAUUCAAAUUGCUGUUACUGAGUUCUAUGAUUAUGCUUUGAGUUGGUGGGAUCAACUAGUCACCAAUAGAAGGCGCAAUGGGGAAUUUCCUGUUGAGACUUGGGCAGAAAUGAAGGCUCUCAUGCGCAAGAGAUUUGUGCCCAGCCAUUACCACCGGGAUCUCCAUCAGAAGCUAAGAAAACUCACGCAAGGCUCACGGACAGUCGAAGAAUACUAUCAGGAGAUGGAGUUGUUGAUGUUAAGAGCUUGCAUAUCUGAGGAUAGAGAAGCUACUAUGGCACGGUUUCUUGGAGGACUCAACCGUGAGAUACAAGACAGUGUGGAGAUGCAACACUACUUGGAGAUGGAGGAGAUGCUACACAAAGCCAUUCUAGUGGAACAACAAGUAAAGAGAAAAGGUCACUCCCGAGGCAACUAUGGAACUAGAUAUCAAGGUGCUAAAGAAGAUAAGCCAAGUCACCAGAAAGAGAGCAAGUCAUAUCAAAAGGAUGAGGAAAAACCUACUAGUUCCCUCAGCAAGGAUAAAGGGAAAGCUGAAGCCUCUACUACAAGAUCAAGAGAUGUUAAGUGUUUUAAGUGCCAAGGAAGAGGACACUACGCUAAUGAAUGCACCAACAAACGUGUGAUGAUCCUUCAUGACAAUGGAGAAUAUGAAUCUACUGAUGAGGAGACAGAGGCCGAAGAAGAUCACAGUUCAGAAGAGGAGUAUGUUGCCAACCCGGUCGCUGGAAGGUUGCUAGUUGCUAGAAGAACCUUGAGUCUUCAAAGCAAGACCGAAGAGAUGGAGCAAAGAGAGAAUCUCUUCUAUACUAGAUGUCUAGUACAAGGAAAGGUCUGUAGUCUUAUUGUGGAUGGAGGCAGUUGUGUCAACGUUGCGAGUGAGACUAUGGUUAAAAAGUUGGGUUUGAGGGUCCAGAAGCAUCCUAAACCAUAUAGGCUCCAAUGGCUCAAUGAAGAGGGCGAGAUGAGAGUCUCUACUCAGGUUGUAGUUCCUUUAGCCAUUGGUAAAUAUGAAGAUGAGAUUCUAUGUGAUGUGUUGCCUAUGGAAGCUGGACACAUUCUCCUUGGAAGGCCGUGGCAAUCAGAUAGACGUGUGAUACAUGAUGGGUAUGCCAACAAGCACACCUUUGAGUUUAAAGGGAGAAAGACAGUUCUUGUGCCUAUGACUCCUAAGGAAGUUCAGGUUCAUCAGCUCCAACUACAAAAGAAGAAAGAGAUUGAUCUACCCGCUGAUUCAACAAAGCAACUAAACUUCUAUGCCAAGUCUGGUGAUGUUAAAAGAUCUCUCUGCUCUAACCUUCCUAUUCUUUUGUUUAUCUAUAAGGAAUCACUCUUGACUACUACUGAUAUUGCACCGGAGUAUCCGAGUGAACUUGUGUCUCUUUUGCAGGAAUAUCAAGAUGUUUUUCCAGAAGAUAGUCCCAAAGGACUACCACCAGUGCGAGGGAUUGAACACCAAAUUGACUUUGUGCCUGGUUCUACACUUCCCAACAGGCCAGCAUACAGAACCAAUCCGGUUGAGACCAAAGAACUACAAAGGCAAGUAGAGGAACUGAUGGAGAAAGGGCAUAUCCGAGAGAGCAUGAGUCCUUGUGCUGUUCCAGUACUGCUUGUGCCCAAGAAAGAUGGAAGCUGGCGCAUGUGUGUUGAUUGUAGAGCAAUCAACAAUAUAACAGUGAAGUAUCGCCAUCCUAUUCCUAGAUUAGAUGAUAUGCUUGAUGAAUUACAUGGUUCAUGCAUCUUUUCUAAGAUAGAUCUAAAGAGUGGAUAUCAUCAGAUUAGGAUGAAAGAAGGAGAUGAGUGGAAAACUGCCUUUAAGACUAAGCAUGGGUUAUAUGAGUGGUUAGUUAUGCCCUUUGGAUUGACUAAUGCACCUAGUACUUUCAUGAGAUUGAUGAACCAUGUGCUUAGGUCCUUUAUAGGUUUGUUUGUGGUAGUUUACUUUGAUGAUAUCCUAAUCUACAGUCAGAGUCUAGAAGAGCAUAUAGACCAUCUUAAGACUGUUCUUGAUGUGUUGAGAAAAGAAAAACUUUAUGCUAAUCUUAAGAAAUGUACAUUCUGCACAGAUAACUUGGUCUUUUUAGGUUUUAUUGUGGGUGCAGAUGGUGUUAAAGUUGAUCCGGAGAAAGUAAGGGCUAUACAAGAAUGGCCAAUCCCUAAGACCGUGAGUGAAGUAAGAAGCUUCCAUGGACUUGCUGGCUUCUAUAGGCGCUUUGUGAAAGACUUCAGCACCAUUGCAUCUCCCUUGACUGAAGUAAUCAAGAAAGAAGUCGGAUUCAAGUGGGGAGAAGCACAAGAACUUGCUUUCCAAUGCCUUAAAGAGAAGCUUACUCAUGCCCCUCUUCUUAUACUUCCUGACUUUCAUAAAACUUUUGAAAUAGAAUGUGAUGCCUCAGGAAUUGGUAUUGGUGCUGUAUUGAUGCAGGAGAAGAGACCCAUUGCAUACUUCAGUGAGAAGCUUGGAGGAGCUACCCUCAACUAUGCAACUUAUGAUAAAGAGCUGUAUGCCUUGGUGAGAGCCUUGCAGACUUGGCCGCACUAUCUCUGGCCUAAAGAAUUCGUCAUACACACAGAUCAUGAGUCUCUCAAAUACCUCAAAGGACAGAACAAGCUCAGCAAGAGACACGCAAGGUGGGUUGAGUUCAUUGAGACAUUUCCUUAUGUCAUCAAGUAUAAACAAGGUAAGGAAAACAUAGUUGCUGAUGCACUAUCCAGAAGGUAUGUUCUCUUGAACACUCUUGAUGCUAAGCUAUUAGGAUUUGAGCAGAUUAAAGGAAUGUAUGAGAAUGAUCCUGAUUUUAGAGAGGCUUACAACUCUUGUGAGAAAUUGGCUGUAGGACACUACUUUAGACAUGAUGGUUUUCUUUUCUAUGAUAAUCGAUUGUGUGUGCCUAACUGUUCUUUGAGAGACUUGUUUGUUAGGGAAUCUCAUGGAGGAAGUCUCAUGGGACACUUUGGUGUUGCAAAGACUCUUAAAACUUUGCAGGAUCACUUCUUUUGGCCUCGGAUGAAAAGAGAUGUGGAGAAACUAUGUGAGAGAUGUGCAACUUGCAAGCAAGCUAAGUCUAAGGUUCAGUCUCACGGUUUGUAUACUCCUCUCCCUAUACCUUAUCAUCCUUGGAAUGACAUAUCUAUGGAUUUCAUUGUUGGCUUGCCUAGAACUAGGACUGGAAAGGAUUCUAUCUUUGUAGUUGUGGAUAGGUUCUCAAAGAUGGCACAUUUCAUAGCUUGUCACAAAACUGAUGAUGCAUUGCAUAUUGCUAACUUGUUCUUUAAAGAGAUUGUGCGCAUACAUGGCAUGCCUAAGACUAUUGUUUCUGAUAGAGAUACUAAGUUUCUUAGUUAUUUUUGGAAGACUCUUUGGUCUAAGCUAGGUACUAAACUCUUGUUUUCUACUACUUGUCAUCCACAAACUGAUGGACAGACUGAAGUAGUUAAUAGGACUCUUGGAACACUCUUGCGUGCAUUCAUAAAGAAAAACUUGAAAUCAUGGGAAGACUAUUUGCCUCAUUGUGAAUUUGCAUACAAUCAUGCUGUGCAUUCUACUUCUAAGUUUUCUCCUUUUGAAAUUGUUUAUGGGUUCAAUCCCAACUCUCCUUUGGAUUUAAUCCCUUUACCUGAGUGUGAAAGGGUCAGCUUUGAUGGCAAAAAGAAGGCAGAGAUGGUGAAGCAACUCCACGAGCAGGCUAGGCUCAAUAUUGAGGCGAAAACCAAACAAUAUGUUAAGCAUGCCAACAAAGGAAGGCGUGAGAUGGUCUUUGAAGUGGGUGAUCAGGUCUGGAUUCACCUAAGGAAAGAGAGGUUUCCAAAUGAAAGGAAGUCCAAGCUAAUGCCGCGGAUUGAUGGACCUUUUGAGGUCAUAAGGAAGAUCAGCAACAAUGCCUACAAGCUGGAUUUGCGAGGUAAGUAUGAUGUGAGUAAUAGCUUCAAUGUUACUGACUUGAUCCCUUUUAUUGCAGAUGAGCCAGAUUUGAGGACAAAUCCUUUUCAAGUGGGAGGGGAUGAUAUGAUCAUGGACCAGCUAGUUGAUAAAGAUGGAGAAGGAGAGACUGAAGAUACACUAGCUGAAGAAGAAGAUGUCCUAGCCAUUCCCACAGGUCCCAUAACUCGUGCCAUGACAAGGAGACUCAAGGAAGCUGUUGGAAACAUACUGAAGAUCUCUAAGGAGCAAGAAGACUGUCUUGGUAGAAGCUUGAGCCACCAAGACACACUCAUCACCAUUCAGGUGAUCUUAUCAUCAAGCUGAUCAUCAUCUAGGCAAGUGGCUUGGUAUACUCUUUUUCCCUUGAUUAGUUUUGUCCCAAUGGGUUUUCUAAUCAAGGUUUUUAAUGAGGUAUCAAGUUCACUUACACAUUCCUAGUUGAUGUAUCUUGGAUGCAACUCGGCCUAAGGCAUCUUGGACCGACUUCAUCAUCUAUCUUAUAUUAUGUUUUAGUCUAAGUGUUGUGUUAUUAAUUUGAAACCGUGUGGAGCCUUUUCCUUUAUGUUUUCUUAUGUUUUCGAGACCUUGUGCAUGUACAAGGAUCUCUCUAUUUAAGUGUAUCACAAACCCUCAUUCUAAUCUAAGUUAUCUUUUAUUUAAAACCUUUUUGGUGUCUUCUCUCUUGCCUUGCGAGUUGUUGAAGUGUCUGGUGUGUAAUAUCCAGUCUACUGGUGUGUAGUAUCCAGUGUUAAGGGCCUUAGUUGGUGUGUCAUAUCCGAUCUAUAGCCUAGGAGUAUCAAGGAGCCUUUCCGCAGCCUCUUGUGUCACCAAUCGAUCCACAAACCUUGAUAAACUUGAGUCCUUGACUCAUUUAUGAAAGGAUCUAUCUCGAUCCAUCCAGAGACGCAUCCUAGGAGUUCAUCAGAAAGUGGGAUAACUUCUUCAUCCCAACUCCUAUGAGAUUUAUUCAAUUUCCUGGUGUUUCUCCACCAUUUUAUGUAUCCAAAUCAAGCUUCUUACAAAGUGAUUCAUCCUGGUGUUAUUGGAACGACGAAGAAGCUGUCCUAUUCCCAAACUGGGAAACUGGAAUCACCUGAUUAGAAAGUGGGAUAACUUCUUCAUCCCAACUCCUAUGAGAUUUAUUCAACUUCCUGGUGAUUCUACACCACUUUAUGUAUCCAAACUAAGGUUCUUACAAAGUGAUUCAUCCUGGUGCUAUUGGAACGACGAAGAAGCUGUCCUAUUCCCAAACUGGGAAACUGGAAUCACCUGAUUAGAAAGUGGGAUAACUUCUUCAUCCCAACUCCUAUGAGAUUAAUUCAACUUCCUGGUGAUUCUCCACCACUUUAUGUAUCCAAAUCAAGCAUUUUACAAAGUGAUUCAUCCUGGUUUAUUGGAACGACGAAGAAGCUGUCCUAUUCCCAAACUGGGAAACUGGAAUCACCUGAUUAGAAAGUGGGAUAACUUCUUCAUCUUAACUCCUAUGAGAUUAAUUCAACUUCCUGGUGAUUCUCCACCACUUUAUGUAUCCAAAUCAAGCUUCUUACAAAGUGAUUCAUCCUGGUGUUAUUGGAACGACGAAGAAGCUGUCAUAUUCCCAAACUGGGAAACUGGAAUCACCUGAUUAGAAAGUGGGAUAACUUCUUCAUCCCAACUCCUAUGAGAUUUAUUCAACUUCCUGGUGAUUCUCCAACACUUUAUGUAUCCAAAUCAAGCUUCUUACAGAGUCAUUUAUCCUGGUUUGAUUGGAACGACGAAGAAGCUGUCCUAUUCUCAAACUGGGAAACUGGAAUCACCUGAUUAGAAAGUGGGAUAACUUCUUCAUCCCAACUCCUAUGAGAUUUAUUCAACUUCCUGGUGAUUCUCCAACACUUUAUGUAUCCAAAUCAAGCUUCUUACAGAGUGAUUCAUCCUGGUUUGAUUGGAACGACGAAGAAGCUGUCCUAUUCCCAAACUGGGAAACUGGAAUCACCUGAUUAGAAAGUGGGAUAACUUCUUCAUCCCAACUCCUAUGAGAUUUAUUCAACUUCCUGGUGAUUCUCCAACACUUUAUGUAUCCAAAUCAAGCUUCUUACAGAGUGAUUCAUCCUGGUUUGAUUGGAACGACGAAGAAGCUGUCCUAUUCCCAAACUGGGAAACUGGAAUCACCUGAUUAGAAAGUGGGAUAACUUCUUCAUCCCAACUCCUAUGAGAUUAAUUCAACUUCCUGGUGAUUCUCCACCACUUUAUGUAUCCAAAUCAAGCUUCUUACAAAGUGAUUCAUCCUGGUUUGAUUGGAACGCCGAAGAAGCUGUCCUAUUCCCAAACUGGGAAACUGGAAUCACCUGAUUUGAAAGUGGGAUAACUCAUUCAUCCCAACUCCUAUGAGAUUAAUUCAACUUCCUGGUGAUUCUCCAACACUUUAUGUAUCCAAGUCAAGCUUCUUACAAAGUGAUUCAUCCUGGUUUGAUUGGAACGCCGAAGAAGCUGUGUCCUAUUCCCAAACUGGGAAACUGGAAUCACCUGAUUAGAAAGUGGGAUAACUUCUUCAUCCCAACUCCUAUGAGAUUUAUUCAAUUUCCUGGUGUUUCUCCACCAUUUUAUGUAUCCAAAUCAAGCUUCUUACAAAGUGAUUCAUCCUGGUGUUAUUGGAACGACGAAGAAGCUGUCCUAUUCCCAAACUGGGAAACUGGAAUCACCUGAUUAGAAAGUGGGAUAACUUCUUCAUCCCAACUCCUAUGAGAUUUAUUCAACUUCCUGGUGAUUCUACACCACUUUAUGUAUCCAAACUAAGGUUCUUACUGUUGAACUGAAGAGAAGAUGGAGCUUGUACAAUGCUAAGGCAAGCUCUAGAAGAUGUCUAGAAGAGUUCAAUCAAGCUUCAGGAGUGCCCUGAAGUAUCUAUCAUUGAGAAGUUAAGUCCAGGAGAGACUUAGACUGAUCUUAGGAAGGCUUUGGAGAAGUUUGGGAGAAGAUGGAUGAAGGUACAAAUCUAGGGAAGCUGUACGGACAGUACGGCCUUGUACGGCUAUGUACGGCCAUGGGAGAUUCACAAAGGAGUCUGGUUCAACCAAGAAGAGAGUUAGGGCAAUGUGCAAGUAUAGGGCGAGUGGUACGGACAGGAGGUCCGUACCAAUGACCGUACAACCAUGUGGGCGCACCAACAUGUUCCGGAUCAACCUAAAAUGGUGUUGUGCAGACUUAGGGUGCAAGAGAAGCUUGUCUGAUCAUUAUGGACGUUGGAGGAUAAGGCAAGGGAAUAUUCCAAGGGAUAAAUGAGCUGUGUAUGCAAGCUGGAAAGGUAAAGGUGCUUUACCUUUACAGCCAAGACCAAUCUACACCAUCCAUUCAAAAGGAGCAAUCUGAGCCUUUCAUUUAAACUAAAGACCAGCCAGCUAGCAUCAGAUCCUUGACUACAUCUCAUCCGCCCAUUUCAAACCAAAGGAUCUCCACUCUCCAUUUCUUAUCCUUAGCUUAGGGUUUCAUGAGUUCUGUAACCCAUUUUCUAUUUAAAGACCCUUUGAGGGCAAUUUGUAAUCUCUAAGAGAGAGAGGGGGAUUUCCCCUCCUCCUUCAUAAUCUUAUGAUACUUUGUCUCUCUAAACUCUCUAUUCUCUCAUUCUUAAUCUCUAUACACGUUCUCAGACUUGUUACCAAUCUCUUAGACUCUUAGACACCUAAACACUUAGACACAUAAACACUCAUUAGUCUCUCUUCUUCUCAAAUCGCUCCCAAGCUCUCUCUCUUUACCCAUUUGGGUUUCACACACACAUACAACCUGAGUACUCUUAAAAUCUCAUACUUACAAAGUGAUUCAUCCUGGUGUUAUUGGAACGACGAAGAAGCUGUCCUAUUCCCAAACUGGGAAACUGGAAUCACCUGAUUAGAAAGUGGGAUAACUUCUUCAUCUUAACUCCUAUGAGAUUAAUUCAACUUCCUGGUGAUUCUCCACCACUUUAUGUAUCCAAAUCAAGCUUCUUACAAAGUGAUUCAUCCUGGUUUGAUUGGAACGCCGAAGAAGCUGUCCUAUUCCCAAACUGGGAAACUGGAAUCACCUGAUUAGAAAGUGGGAUAACUUCUUCAUCCCAACUCCUAUGAGAUUUAUUCAACUUCCUGGUGAUUCUCCAACACUUUAUGUAUUUAAAUCAAGCUUCUUACAGAGUGAUUCAUCCUGGUUUGAUUGGAACGACGAAGAAGCUGUCCUAUUCCCAAACUGGGAAACUGGAAUCACCUGAUUAGAAAGUGGGAUAACUUCUUCAUCCCAACUCCUAUGAGAUUAAUUCAACUUCCUGGUGAUUCUCCAACACUUUAUGUAUCCAAGUCAAGCUUCUUACAAAGUGAUUCAUCCUGGUUUGAUUGGAACGACGAAGAAGCUGUCCUAUUCCCAAACUGGGAAACUGGAAUCACCUGAUUAGAAAGUGGGAUAACUUUUUCAUCCCAACUCCUAUGAGAUUUAUUCAACUUCCUGGUGAUUCUCCAACACUUUAUGUAUCCAAAUCAAGCUUCUUACAGAGUGAUUCAUCCUGGUUUGGUUGGAACGACGAAGAAGCUGUCCUAUUCCCAAACUGGGAAACUGGAAUCACCUGAUUUGAAAGGAGGAUAACGUCUUCAUCCCAACUCCUAUGAGAUUUAUUCAACUUCCUGGUUAUUCUCCACCACUUUAUGUAUCCAAAUCAAGCUUCUUACAAAGUGAUUCAUCCUGGUGUUAUUGGAACGACGAAGAAGCUGUCAUAUUCCCAAACUGGGAAACUGAAAUCACCUGAUUUGAAAGUGGGAUAACUCAUUCAUCCCAACUCCUAUGAGAUUAAUUCAACUUCCUGGUGAUUCUCCAACACUUUAUGUAUCCAAGUCAAGUUUCUUACAAAGUGAUUCAUCCUGGUUUGAUUGGAACGCUGAAGAAGCUGUCCUAUUCCCAAACUGGGAAACUGGAAUCACCUGAUUAGAAAGUGGGAUAACUUGUUCAUCCCAACUCCUAUGAGAUUUAUUCAACUUCCUGGUGUUUCUCCACCAUUUUAUGUAUCCAAAUCAAGCUUCUUACAAAGUGAUUCAUCCUGGUGUUAUUGGAACGACGAAGAAGCUGUCCUAUUCCCAAACUGGGAAACUGGAAUCACCUGAUUAGAAAGUGGGAUAAAUUCUUCAUCCCAACUCCUAUGAGAUUUAUUCAACUUCCUGGUGAUUCUCCAACACUUUAUGUAUCCAAAUCAAGCUUCUUACAGAGUGAUUCAUCCUGGUUUGAUUGGAACGACGAAGAAGCUGUCCUAUUCCCAAACUGGGAAACAGGAAUCACCUGAUUUGAAAGUGGGAUAACUCAUUCAUCCCAACUCCUAUGAGAUUAAUUCAACUUCCUGGUGAUUCUCCAACACUUUAUGUAUCCAAGUCAAGCUUCUUACAAAGUGAUUCAUCCUGGUUUGAUUGGAACGCCGAUGAAGCUGUGUCAUAUUCCCAAACUGGGAAACUGGAAUCACCUGAUUAGAAAGUGGGAUAACUUCUUCAUCCCAACUCCUAUGAGAUUUAUUCAAUUUCCUGGUGUUUCUCCACCAUUUUAUGUAUCCAAAUCAAGCUUCUUACAAAGUGAUUCAUCCUGGUGUUAUUGGAACGACGAAGAAGCUGUCCUAUUCCCAAACUGGGAAACUGGAAUCACCUGAUUAGAAAGUGGGAUAACUUCUUCAUCCCAACUCCUAUGAGAUUUAUUCAACUUCCUGGUGAUUCUACACCACUUUAUGUAUCCAAACUAAGGUUCUUACAAAGUGAUUCAUCCUGGUGAUAUUGGAACGACGAAGAAGCUGUCCUAUUCCCAAACUGGGAAACUGGAAUCACCUGAUUAGAAAGUGGGAUAACUUCUUCAUCCCAACUCCUAUGAGAUUAAUUCAACUUCCUGGUGAUUCUCCACCACUUUAUGUAUCCAAAUCAAGCUUUUUACAAAGUGAUCCAUCCUGGUGUUAUUGGAACGACGAAGAAGCUGUCCUAUUCCCAAACUGGGAAACUGGAAUCACCUGAUUAGAAAGUGGGAUAACUUCUUCAUCUUAACUCCUAUGAGAUUAAUUCAACUUCCUGGUGAUUCUCCACCACUUUAUGUAUCCAAAUCAAGCUUCUUACAAAGUGAUUCAUCCUGGUGUUAUUGGAACGACGAAGAAGCUGUCCUGUUCCCAAACUGGGAAACUGGAAUCACCUGAUUAGAAAGUGGGAUAACUUCUUCAUCUUAACUCCUAUGAGAUUAAUUCAACUUCCUGGUGAUUCUCCACCACUUUAUGUAUCCAAAUCAAGCUUCUUACAAAGUGAUUCAUCCUGGUGUUAUUGGAACGACGAAGAAGCUGUCAUAUUCCCAAACCGGGAAACUGGAAUCACCUGAUUAGAAAGUGGGAUAACUUCUUCAUCCCAACUCCUAUGAGAUUUAUUCAACAUCCUGGUGAUUCUCCAACACUUUAUGUAUCCAAAUCAAUCUUCUUACAGAGUCAUUUAUCCUGCUUUGAUUGGAACGCCGAAGAAGCUGUCCUAUUCUCAAACUGGGAAACUGGAAUCACCUGAUUAGAAAGUGGGAUAACUUCUUCAUCCCAACUCCUAUGAGAUUAAUUCAACUUCCUGGUGAUUCUCCACCACUUUAUGUAUCCAAAUCAAGCUUCUUACAAAGUGAUUCAUCCUGGUUUGAUUGGAACGCCGAAGAAGCUGUCCUAUUCCCAAACUGGGAAACUGGAAUCACCUGAUUUGAAAGUGGGAUAACUCAUUCAUCCCAACUCCUAUGAGAUUAAUUCAACUUCCUGGUGAUUCUCCAACACUUUAUGUAUCCAAGUCAAGCUUCUUACAAAGUGAUUCAUCCUGGUUUGAUUGGAACGCCGAAGAAGCUGUGUCCUAUUCCCAAACUGGGAAACUGGAAUCACCUGAUUAGAAAGUGGGAUAACUUCUUCAUCCCAACUCCUAUGAGAUUUAUUCAAUUUCCUGGUGUUUCUCCACCAUUUUAUGUAUCCAAAUCAAGCUUCUUACAAAGUGAUUCAUCCUGGUGUUAUUGGAACGACGAAGAAGCUGUCCUAUUCCCAAACUGGGAAACUGGAAUCACCUGAUUAGAAAGUGGGAUAACUUCUUCAUCCCAACUCCUAUGAGAUUUAUUCAACUUCCUGGUGAUUCUACACCACUUUAUGUAUCCAAACUAAGGUUCUUACAAAGUGAUUCAUCCUGGUGUUAUUGGAACGACGAAGAAGCUGUCCUAUUCCCAAACUGGGAAACUGGAAUCACCUGAUUAAAAAGUGGGAUAACUUCUUCAUCUUAACUCCUAUGAGAUUAAUUCAACUUCCUGGUGAUUCUCCACCACUUUAUGUAUCCAAAUAAAGCUUCUUACAAAGUGAUUCAUCCUGGUGUUAUUGGAACGACGAAGAAGCUGUCAUAUUCCCAAACUGGGAAACUGGAAUCACCUGAUUAGAAAGUGGGAUAACUUCUUCAUCCCAACUCCUAUGAGAUUUAUUCAACUUCCUGGUGAUUCUCCAACACUUUAUGUAUCCAAAUCAAGCUUCUUACAGAGUCAUUUAUCCUGGUUUGAUUGGAACGCCGAAGAAGCUGUCCUAUUCUCAAACUGGGAAACUGGAAUCACCUGAUUAGAAAGUGGGAUAACUUCUUCAUCCCAACUCCUAUGAGAUUUAUUCAACUUCCUGGUGAUUCUCCAACACUUUAUGUGUUGAGUUGAGUUGAUUAUAUUGGUAUGGAGAGAAGAGGAGUUGAAGAGGAGAAGAGAUGGAGAAGCUUGGGGAGUUUUGGUGUGAAUGGUACGGACGGCCGUACAAGGCCGUACAUGGCCGUACCGUCCGUACCAAAGGUCUCGACCAAAAGUUACCCAACUCGACCAAGUGAAACGGUAACAAGGAAAUGUUACCUUGGGGGCUUAAGGAGAAGGGAUCAGACCGUUGAGUGGAUAAGGGAAGAGCGUGCCAGGCUGGAACAGGCUGUAAAUAUCACUUUUAGUGAUGUUUAGAGUGAUCUGAGUAUUUAGGAAAGAUUAGAAGAGAUUUAGAGAAGAUUAAAGUAUGAAAUGAGAUUAAGAGUCUAAAGAACUAAAGAGAGGCUAAGAGAGACUCAUAACUUGCUUGAUCUUAUUAAUGAGAGAGUUUACACUUAUAUAGGAAGCUUAAGACACUAGGGUUUCGAUUACACAAAGUAGAAAGCAUGUGAGGUCAAUAACCAGCUAAGAGCUCAUUUGAAUCCUUCCAAUGAGAGUCUCCACAUGUGUAAAGCAUCUUUGAAUAUGCCUUUACCUUUCCAGCCUAUGACAGCCUGUCAGACGCGCCUCCCUUAUCCUUCUAAUGUUCAGCUCACGGUAAGAAAGGUAAAGUAACUCCAGCCUGUUUACAUUUCACCUUGGCCGAGUUACUUCUUGCGGAUGGUCAUUGGUACGGCCUGCGUCCGUACUGCUCUCCCUAUCCGUACUGUCUGUCCGUACAUGCUCCUUCUCUUACUUGCUUAUUAACUCCUCAACACUUCUACACCCUCUUGGACUUCUUCUUCAUAUUAUAGUGCAUUCUUCUCAACACUCCCCCUCAAGCUUAGCUUUGUGAAAGCCUAAGCUUGGACAGCCAUGAGAUCUUCCUCAUUAAAAACCUCACUAAGGAAAACCCAUUGGGAUAAAACCUUAAUGAGGGAAAAAGAGUAAAGAUCUCACAGCUAAGGGGAUCAGCUCCUUCUCUUCCCAAGAUCUAUGAGUCCCAAUCUAAUGUGAAUGGACUCCAUAGUCUUUUGUCUUGCCGCCUUGGUGAACACAUCAGCCAACUGAUCUUCACUUCUUGUAUAGCAAGGUAAGAUCACUCCAAGCACAAUCAUCUGUCUCACCUUGUGGCAAUCAACCUCAAUGUGCUUGGUCCUCUCAUGGAACACUGAGUUGGAUGCAAUGUGAAUGGCAGCUUGGUUGUCACAAUGCAUUGUCAUUGGAGUGGCUUGAUCAAUCUCCAAGUGCUUCAAGAUGCCUUUGAUCCACACCAACUCGUUUGUCAGCUUCAGCAUGGCUCUAUACUCAGCUUCAGCACUUGAACAUGACACCACCUUCUGCUUCUUACUCUUCCAAGUCACCAAGUUGCCUCCAAAGCCAAACCUUAAAGACAUGUUCAUCCGGAUCUUGUUUCUUCAAGAGGAAGAAGAAGACUGAAGCCAUGGCGUGUACUCCUUGUCUCUCAGCCGUCCCUACCUGUCCUAAUGAAGAUUCUCACGGGAAGCAAAGGUGUAUGGAGAGGUUGAGUUAUCCUACCUCUAGGGCGCCUUGCUUCAAGAGCUGUUUCUCAUCUGGUUUCCAAGAGAAAGCCAUCUAGAAGUUGGCGUGGUGAAGACCUGAAGAGAGGAGGGGUUAUUUGGGUGGGGAAUACAAGAUGGUGGCCAUGAACUGAAGGAGAAAGAGAUGGGGGUCAAACCAGGCUCUUAGAUUCAACAAAAUUCAUGGCUGGGUUCAGAAAAUGCAAAAGGAAUCAACCUGGUUCCUUGCUGUAAGCGAUUCUAUAAACCAUCUUGAUAAUGAGCUUGUGUUGUUGACUGGUUAGAAUGUGUGAUGUGAUUGAAAACCUGAGGAUUGUUAAAGAUUGAUAAAUUAAAAUGUUUAGAAUCUGUCCCAGGAUACUUUAAGAGCAUUGUUGGGUGACUGAAUGUGAUUAAUAUGCUUAGCUUCGUUUCAUAGUGAUGCUUAGUGUGAUUAACUGAAUCUGCUUGCAUACAUGGAUUGAAACUGAAUUUAAAGCUGUUGCAUAUAGUCUUGUGGCUGUCUUACAUUGAAGCAUUAGAUUCAUGUCUAAAGUGCUGAGUAAAGAAGCUUUUAAAGUGCCUAAGUAACUUGUCUUGAAUCUGUUAGGAUCUUGCUUGUACUUAGAGAGCUAGCUUGCAAAGAAUAGAACUUGAUAAUGCCUUGUGUCUAUCUGUUGCAUUGCUUGUGAUAUUGGGAAUCAAACUUGAUGAUUUAUUAAUCAAGUUUUGACAUCAAUACUAUUGAAAAUGGUAAAUGCUUAAUGUCAGCUCUAAAUUAACUUGUCUUGUUAAGAUGAUAGAUUAUAUUAUCUAAUCAUACUUUCUUUCAUGAGUUAGAAACUGUUAAGAUUAAUGCAUACUGCCUUGUUGCUACCUUGGAUUGUUGCAUUUAGAUUAAAGUCUAAGUUGCAUAUUAAGGAGUGAUUAAAAUUGCCUAAAUACUUUGACUUGAAUCUGAUAAGGUCUUGCUUAGUAUUUAGAGAAUGGUUGCUUGCAUAGAUAAGAACUUGACAUUGUCUUGAUUCUUUCUAAUGUUAUAAAGCUUGAGACAUUGGUGAUCAAACUUGAUGAAGUCAAGAAUUGAUCCCAAUGCAAUUGUGUCUUAUCUUGGCUAGAGUUUGAGUGAUGUUUCAGGUUCACAAAAGGUGUUCCUAGUUCAUCAUCAAAUCCGUGUUUAAAGAGAAAGAAUGGUGUCCAUUGUGUGUGCAAUGGAGAGUUACUACAAGAAGGGUGAAGCGCAGAUGGUUGUAAAACUCACUUGAAGCUCACUGGUCUUCCUCUUACCAUUGCAAGUAACUGAAGAAGAAGCCAACCGGGUCUAGGCAGUGGCGUGCCUAUUCAAAAGGGUGCUCAAACUAAGACAGAGCACUCUUGGCUGUGUGAAGAAGAAGGCUACUCUACCAAGGCGGCUUCUAUUGUGAGGUGAUUGAAGAAGUAGCUGAAGCAUCCACAAGCAUUCCAUCAUGGUGGUGAAUUCAGAAGGGUGAUUGCAAUAAGAGAAGAAGAAGAAGUAAGGAUUCAAGUGGUAUCUUUGAGAACCACUCCUCAUCAUCUUAACCAAGGGAGUAAACCUAAUCUCAUCUAUCUUAAUAUGUCUUGAUAGGUUUAUCUCCUGAUCAUACUAUGUGCUUUCCCUAAUUCCAUUAAGAGUUUAUAGCUUCUAGUAGAAUGUCUAGGCUAAUUACACUGAAAUUGUUUUGCUGUUGCAUUGUCAUAUUGAUAGUAAGUAAUGUCUAGAGUCCCAGAAUCUCAUGUUCUGUUUAUUGCAUUGUCUUGAGUGUUGUCAUAGCUUGAAUCAUCAUGAAUGUGUUGUAGAAUUGAGUAGAAUGUCUCUGCUGCUUGCAUCAUGAUUGAUAAGUUCUUUUGCAUACAUAAGCAUAUCUCAUACUGUCUAAGUUCAAUCCUAGUGUUAUCUGAUGCUAUUGCCUUUGUCUAAUCCAUCAAUGAAAGUCUUGCAUCAAUUAGAAAUUGUCUAAGUUGCUUGCAUCAUUGGUUCUGAUUGAAACUGUUGUGCAGAGCUUUAAAUAUUCCUCAUGGAUUGAACCUGUUGCAUUCAUAUAGCUAAUGCUUUACGAUUGUGCAUUCAUGUAGUAAUGCAUUUAAAAAUGAGCCUAAAUUGCAAAUGUACUGAUGUAAGCUUGCAUUGCAUUUAGAGAAAUUAAAAUCUGCUUGUUAGCCUCUAAUGUCUUGUAGGAUUUAGAAGUAUGUCUAAGCUACUUGAAUCAUUGGCCUUAAUCAAUCUAGUAAGCAUAAGCAUGAAUUGAGUCACGCUUGUUGCCUUGAUUGCAAAAAGAAUCAUCUAGUCUUGUGUUCAUUUGGAUUGAGUCUUUUUCAUUCAUAUAGUUAGUGUGUAACCUAAUGCAUUCAUCUAUUGCUGCAUUUAAAAAAAAAAAAGGGAUCAGUAGAUUGUUGAAAGCAUACAUUGUCUUUGCAUAUUCUUGUUUUGAUUGUCUAGCUUGUUUCAAGUAUCAUAUAUUAUUGUGGCAUUGGUGAUCAAAAAGGAUGGAUGAUCUUGGUUUGAUCCCAAUGGGAUGAUCUGAUCUUGCAUUGAGUUGUGGUGGUGUUAGGUACACAAGGGAAGUGAUACAUGUAACUCGCCAUCAACCAAGAAUGUAGAGACAAAGGUCUUGGGCCAUUGCAUAAUACCAUUGGACAUAUCUAGUCCUUAGUCUACAGGAAGUGUAGCAUGGGUCAUUAUGCAAUGAGAAAUGUGUCUUGUGAGACUCUCUAUGGUGAUUCAAACACCCUAAUUCCUGGUUAAGGAAGAGAGAAAACUCACAAGAAGAAAGCUAUCAUAAAAGAUGAUAGUUAUUAGACCAUGGGGAUGCAUAGGAUCAUCACAAGCUUAGCUCCUUCUAGUCUCGGUUCUAAGCUUGAGGGGGAGUCUUAAUGCAUAUGAUCCAUGGUCAGUAACAAGUCUUUUGCAAAAGCUUCUACAAGGAUCAUCAACCGGACCAAGUCAGUGGCGUGUCUAGGCAAGAGGCUGUUCAGAGCAGCCUUGGCAAGUGAGGAGGAAGGCUCUCCAUGCGGCUUCAAUGAGAGGUGAUUGAGGAGAAGCUGAUGAAUCCAUUCUGCCUUUCCAAGAAGUUGAUGAUGCCAUGAAGAUGGUGCAUUGGGCGAGUUUGGAAACUCACAAAAACACAAGGGAAGUUCCCUUAGACUUUUAAAACUCCUUUCAAUCUUUUUCAUUCAUCUUAUUCAUUGCUUGUGCUUGAAAAGAUACUUAAGACGAUUAUGAUUGAAUUGUGAGAUUGUGUGCAUCAAAUGUGAUGCAGGAUAUUCAUUUUCUUGUCUUGAUAAGUACUGAUGCACCUUUGGGAUAAUGUAUCAGGUACCAUUGCUUGAGCCUCACUAAAGAUGUUCCUGGUCAGUUUCUAGCUUCUCUAAGAUGGCUGAGAAGUCUGUUGAGAGGAGGAGAUCCCAAACCAGUUCUAUGAAGAGGGCAAGCCGUGUGUGAAGUGUUGAUCAGCCUCACUGGUGUUUUGAAGAUGAUCUGGUCGUGUCCUAGCUUCUCUAAGAUGGCUGUGAAGUCAGUUGAGAGGGGGAGACUUCAAACCGGUUCCAUAAAGAGGUGAAGCUGAAGUGUGAAGUGUGCGCAAAGCUGUGUUGAGUUGCUGCACCUAUUAGGCCGUGAUCCAGAGCUUCUUGUGUCCAACCACACUGGUUCUAAGGCACAAGAGCUCACUGGCCAAUCCCUAGGCUUUGGAGAGCUCUACUCUUUUUCCCUUGCAAGGUUUUGUCCCAAUGGGUUUUCCUUGUAAGGUUUUUAAUGAGGGAGACUCUUCAGAGUUCCAAGCUUGGCUUACGAUCUCCUAAAGUCAAGCUUGAGGGGGAGUGUUGAACUGAAGAGAAGAUAGAGCUUGUACAAUAAUAGGGCAAGCUCUAGAAGAUGUCCAGAAGAGUUCAAUCAAGCUUCAGAAGUGUCCUGAAGUAGUUAUCUUGUGAAGUUAAGUCUAGGAAAGACUUAGACUGAUCAUGUGAAGAGGUGAAGGAGUUAGAGAGAAGAUGGCAUGAAGUGCAAAGCUUGGGAGAAUGAUAAGGCCAUGAGCGAAUCAAGAAGAGGAAUGGAUCAACUAAAGAGGAGGGGAAGUGUUGUGCAUAAUUAGGGCGAGUGUACGGAUGGUACAAGCCGUACAAGAGACCGUACAACACCCAAGCCUCAUUCAUUUAUCCAGUUCGGCAUCAAGUCAAGUUGUGCAAUGUGUGGGCGCGGGAUAAGCUUUCUUAAGUGUCCGUUGAAGUGCCUUGGAGGUAAAGGAAGAUUCAAAUGGAUAAGGUGAGCUGUUGGUAUGAGCUGGAAAGGUAAAGGUGCUUUACCUUUACAGCCUUGACUCAUCCUAUCCAUUCAUUCAAAAGAAGCAAUCUGAGCCUUCUAUUUGAAUCAAUUCGCCAGCUAGCUCCAGCAACAUCAAGACCAGUCUUCUCUCAUCCUUACCAUCCAUUCUAUCAUUUAUUUACAGCCUUAGGAUGUAGGGUUUAUGAGUGAAAUGUAAAGGCAUAUAAAAGCCUUGUAUAUGCGAUUUUGUAAACACUCAAGUGAGUAAGGGGGUUUCCUUUCUCCUUCUCUAAUCUUCAGUCUCUUAUUCUCUCAGUCUCUCUCUAGUCUCUUAAGUCUCUUAAUCUCUGUUCUUAAGUCUCUCACAUACUCAUAAAUAUUCUCACUAAUCCUUUUCUCUAUAUCACUUAGAACAAGCUCUAAUCAUUCUUCAUUGAAGCUUAUACACACACACAUACUACCAGAGUAGAGAUCUCUUUAAAAAUCACACAUAUAUCAGGUCUUGUGAUGGUAAGAUAAAUUAAUUUGCCAACAAGUUUUCUAUAGAGUUUAGGAUCAUGAAAUGGCUUGCUGUCUUCAAUCUCCCCCUCUCUUGGUACUUUGUAGCCAUCCUCCAUUGGCAUCCUUGCUGUCUUGCCUCCAUAAGCACCUGCACCUUUCAAAAGAUCAAGUGUAUACUUCCUUUGGGACAUGAACAAUCCUUCCUUAGAUCUACAAAUCUCAAUUCCAAGGAAGUAUUUCAUUUCUCCCAAGUCUUUGAUUUCAAACAUAGACUUUAGGAAUUCCUUGGUUGCUUUGAUACCUUCCUUAUCACUCCCAGUGAUAAUGAUAUCAUCCACAUACACAAGGAGAGCAACCAUACCUGAGGGUGUCGUGAGUGUAAAGAGAGUGUGAUCCAAUUCUGACUUCUUGAAGCCUCGGCCAUUCAGAGUUGUGCUCAACUUGUUAUACCAAGCUCUUGGUGAUUGCUUCAACCCAUAAAUGGCUUUCUUUAGCCUCAGUACAUUCCCUCUCUUCACUAGAUGUUCCAGACCUGGUGGAGGAUACAUAUAGACUUCAUCCUCAAGCUCUCCUUGUAGAAAUGCAUUCUUUACAUCCAUUUGCCACAAUCCCCAUCCUAGGUUCACAGCCAAGUUUAAAACAAUCCUAAUGGUGUGUAGCUUGGCUACUGGUGCAAAUGUCUCAAUGUAGUCCUCUCCAUAUGUCUGAGUGAACCCUCUUGCUACUAGUCUAGUCUUCUUCCUCUCAAUUGACCCAUCAGCCUUGUACUUGAUUGUAAAGAUCCAUCUACUAGACACAGCUUUCUUCCCUUUUCGUAGUUCACUCUCAUACCAUGUAUCAUUCUUUAUCAUAGCUCCUGCCUCAGCUCCUACUGAUUCCUUCCAUUCCUUAUCCUCCAUUGCCUCUUCAUAGCUUCUUGGAAUGUGAUUUUCAUCCAAGUUUACCAUGAAUGCGCAAUGUGCUUCUGGAUAUUGAGCAAAAGAACACACGGCCUGAGUAGGAUGCUUCACAGCUUGGGCAUUGUAGUACAUUCUUGUGUUUACCCAACUGGAAGGAUCCUUUCUCAGCCUUGUACUUCUUCUCAAUACUGGCCCUUCUUGCGCCAUCUCUUGUUCUUCUUCUUGUGGCUGCACACUUGUUUCAGAUCUUUCUUCUCCUAGCUGACUUGCUUCAGCUCCUUCUUCCCUUAGCUGACUCUCUUCAGCUCCUUCUUCUUGAUCAUUUGAUUCCACAGCUUGAUCAUGAGAGCCAGAACUCUCUUCUCUA
rnacentral:lncRNA from 1 species